UACGAACCGUCCAAACGUUAUUCGGAAUUACUGGGCUUAAAGGGUACGUAGGCGGCGCUGUCAGUCGGGUGUGAAAUCCCACGGCUCAACCGUGGAACUGCGCCCGAUACUGCAGUGCUUGAGGGAGACAGAGGUAAGCGGAACUGAUGGUGGAGCGGUGAAAUGCGUUGAUAUCAUCAGGAACACCAGUGGCGAAAGCGGCUUACUGGGUCUCUUCUGACGCUGAGGUACGAAAGCUAGGGGAGCGAAGGGGAUUAGAUACCCCUGUAGUCC
rnacentral:rRNA from 1 species